rnacentral:rRNA from 1 species
GACGAACGCUGGCGGCGUGCUUAACACAUGCAAGUCGAACGGAAAGGCCCUGCUUUUGUGGGGUGCUCGAGUGGCGAACGGGUGAGUAACACGUGAGUAACCUGCCCUUGACUUUGGGAUAACUUCAGGAAACUGGGGCUAAUACCGGAUAGGAGCUCCUGCUGAAUGGUGGGGGUUGGAAAGUUUCGGCGGUUGGGGAUGGACUCGCGGCUUAUCAGCUUGUUGGUGGGGUAGUGGCUUACCAAGGCUUUGACGGGUAGCCGGCCUGAGAGGGUGACCGGCCACAUUGGGACUGAGAUACGGCCAAGACUCCUACGGGAGGCAGCAGUGGGGAAUAUUGCACAAUGGGCGGAAGCCUGAUGCAGCAACGCGGCGUGCGGGAUGACGGCCUUCGGGUUGUAAACCGCUUUAGCAUGUGACGAAGCGUGAGUGACGGUAAUGGGGAAAGAAGCACCGGCUAACUACGU